rnacentral:rRNA from 1 species
UACGGAGGGUGCAAGCGUUAAUCGGAAUUACUGGGCGUAAAGCGUGCGCAGGCGGUUUGUUAAGUCUGUUGUGAAAUCCCCGAGCUCAACUUGGGAAUUGCAAUGGAUACUGGCAGGCUGGAGUAUGGUAGAGGAAGGUGGAAUUCCCGGUGUAGCAGUGAAAUGCGUAGAGAUCGGGAGGAACACCAGUGGCGAAGGCGGCCGUCUGGACCAAUACUGACGCUCAUGCACGAAAGCGUGGGGAGCAAACAGG